AUGAACGCUAGCGGCGUGCCUAAUACAUGCAAGUCGAACGGAGUUAUUGUAGCAAUACGAUAACUGAGUGGCGAACGGGUGAGUAACGCGUUGGUGACCUGCCCCGAAGAGGGGGAUAACAGUCCGAAAGGAUUGCUAAUACCCCAUAUUGUCACCGGUUUUAGAAUCUGGUAACGAAAGUCGCAAGACACUUUGGGAGGGACCUGCGUCCCAUCAGCUAGUUGGUAAGGUAACGGCCUACCAAGGCAAUGACGGGUAGGGGACCUGAGAGGGUGCCCCCCCACAAUGGCACUGAAACACGGGCCAUACACCUACGGGUGGCAGCAGUAGGGAAUAUUGCUUAAUGUGCGAAAGCGCGAAGCAGCAACGCCGCGUGUGUGAUGAAGGCCUUCGGGUCGUAAAACACUUUUCUGAAGGAUGAGGAAGGACAGUACUUCAGGAAUAAGCAUCGGCUAACUACGU
rnacentral:rRNA from 1 species